UAUUCCUCCUCGCGGGCUGCAAUCCAUAUAAACGCGGGCAUGGCGGCAAUCUGGACCGUUGCGCCACCGCAGCCCUUCUCCCGCCGACAUCUCCGCCGCCUUAGCCGUUCCUCCCUUUCCCCAUAUGUGUGUAUUCCUCAUCCUUCCUCGCCUCCUCUAUGGUUUCCCCGCGCUCACCUCGGCGGAAUUCGUUCCUUCCGAUGCUUCGCAGGCCCAGGAGGUGGCGCUGGGGCUCCGCCGCUGCUAAAGAUGGCGGUCGGUGGAGUCACCGAGCUCCUCCGCCUCUUCUCUUCCGAUAAACGGAGAGAUGAAUCAAGGAUUGGACCAGAGGUGUCUCUGGCUCGCAGUGUAGAUGAUGUUGUUCAAAUUCUAAAGUCUGACUACGAUCGCGCUUAUUUCCUGACAGGUAAUUUCAAUUCAGAUAUAUAUGCUGAGGAUUGCUUGUUUGAAGAUCCUACUAUUAAAUUCCGUGGUAAAGUUCAAUAUUCACAGAAUCUGGACUUGCUCGUACCUUUUUUUGAUCGUCCAUCUCUCAAACUAGAAAAGAUUGAGAAGGGUAGCAAUUAUGAAAUGGACUUCAUUUUAGCAUCAUGGAAACUAAGAACAUACUUAAAAUUUCCUUGGAGGCCUCUCAUCGCCAUUAAAGGAACAACCACUUAUGAUUUGGACAAGAAUCUUCAAAUUGUUAGGCAUGCUGAAAGUUGGAAUAUUUCUGCACUUGAAGCAGUUGGACAGAUAUUUAAAUUGGGUUCACAGGAUGGUGAUGAAUGAGUUUCUAUACAGGUGUAGGGAUAAAGAACAGCAGUUGAUCGUUUCAAAACAAAUUGCUUCACACUGAUCCUCAACAUUGUACCGGCUUUAUAAUCAUGAAAUGUAUUGAAGUUGCAUUGGAGUUCAUCUGUCACUCAAUCUUCCAUGACUCAUGUCUCCGGAUGAAUCAGGAAUGCUGAACAAAAGUCACCACCAGUCCAGUGGAGGCCAAUUAAUCAGUAUAAAUUCAGUAGCCCGGAAUGUCAAGAUGCUGCUGCCGGGGAGCAUAUUAAAAGGUGGCAUAUCCCUCAUUUGCAUCCACCAGUUCAGGGACUAUGAGUGCACAUUGAAGUGCAUGGAUCAACUGGGGAAUAGGAUUCCCCAACAAUUAUACCUGUUUGGGAGGAUCUAAUCAUCUAGCAUUGCUGGUCAGGCAGAAGAGGUGAAUCACAAUAGUUCAUAUUCAUUUUGGUAAUUAAUAUAUGAAUGUUUGGUUUAAGGUUCGCCGGAUCUAUACCGAUGCCAUCCUAUUAUAGUGUCAAUGCUUACAAUACAGCAACCAAUUUGGCGUCCUGAGUAUUCGUACACCAUCCAUACUAUAUACUGAGAAUAUGAUUUCCAAUGGCACAGUUCCUCAAAUUGAUUUCUCAGAAUGCAUAGGAAACCUAUAUAUACAAGUAUGGUCUUACGCUGCUGAAAUGAUUCCACCCUGAGGUGAUCAGAUGGUUAAAGAUGUUAUUGGAGGGGAAAAUCAAAUACAAACAGAAUUAUUACUUAAAUUUUUAAGCCCUCUACUACCAGUUUCAGGCUCUGAGUGUUGAUGUAUCGCAAUGGUUGAAAUAUUAAAAGCAGGCUAAACGACUGGAAGGCAAAAUUUUGGGAAUUCUGAAAAGGUACCAGUGAGCACGCCCUAGCACAUAAUCAAUAUCUAGGAUUGAAACGCAUGCGGAUCUGAAAAAGUUACUAUUGAGGCAGUUGGUUAAAAAAUUGUUGCGCGUUUUGGCACUGUUGAAGUGUGUGAGUUGGCACAGAAAUUUAGAACUCACUUAUUUUCAGCUUACAGAUAAAUAUUUUUUCAGGUUACGUAAAUAAAUAAAUAAAUAUUCAGAUUUCUGUCAUCUCUUGAGUUUUUCUCCAUUUGACUGAUUCUCAAACUUGAACAUCUUUCUCACUCUGUUUUUUUUUUUUUAAUCAUGUUCUCAA